UGGGGAAUAUUGCACAAUGGGCGCAAGCCUGAUGCAGCCAUGCCGCGUGUGUGAAGAAGGCCUUCGGGUUGUAAAGCACUUUCAGCGAGGAGGAAGGUGGUGAGCUUAAUACGCUCAUCAAUUGACGUUACUCGCAGAAGAAGCACCGGCUAACUCCGUGCCAGCAGCCGCGGUAAUACGGAGGGUGCAAGCGUUAAUCGGAAUUACUGGGCGUAAAGCGCACGCAGGCGGUUUGUUAAGUCAGAUGUGAAAUCCCCGGGCUCAACCUGGGAACUGCAUUUGAAACUGGCAAGCUAGAGUCUCGUAGAGGGGGGUAGAAUUCCAGGUGUAGCGGUGAAAUGCGUAGAGAUCUGGAGGAAUACCGGUGGCGAAGGCGGCCCCCUGGACGAAGACUGACGCUCAGGUGCGAAAGCGUGGGGCAGCAAACAGGAUUAGAUACCCUGGUAGUCCACGCUGUAAACGAUGUCGAUUUGGAGGUUGUGCCCUUGAGGCGUGGCUUCCGGAGCUAACGCGUUAAAUCGACCGCCUGAGGAGUACGGCCGCAAGGUUAAAACUCAAAUGAAUUG
rnacentral:rRNA from 1 species